rnacentral:rRNA from 1 species
UACAGAGGGUGCGAGCGUUAAUCGGAAUUACUGGGCGUAAAGCGCGCGUAGGCGGCUUUGCAAGUCGGGUGUGAAAUCCCCAGGCUUAACCUGGGAACUGCAUUCGAGACUGCAUUGCUAGAGUAUGGGAGAGGGAAGUGGAAUUUCCGGUGUAGCGGUGAAAUGCGCAGAUAUCGGGAGGAACACCGGUGGCGAAGGCGGUUCUCUGGGCCUUACCUGACGCUGAGGAGCGAAAGCGUGGGGAGCGAACAGG